AAACUUAAAGGAAUUGACGGGGGCCCGCACAAGCGGUGGAGCAUGUGGUUUAAUUCGACGCAACGCGAAGAACCUUACCUGGGUUUUGACAUGCCGAGUACCCGAUGGAAACAUUGGGGUGCCCCGUAAGGGGAACUUGGACACAGGUGCUGCAUGGCUGUCGUCAGCUCGUGCCGUGAGGUGUUGGGUUAAGUCCCGCAACGAGCGCAACCCUCACCCUUAGUUGCCAUCAUUAAGUUGGGCACCCUAAGGGAACUGCCGCAGUUAAUGCGGAGGAAGGUGGGGAUGACGUCAAGUCCUCAUGGCCCUUAUAUCCAGGGCUACACACGUGCUACAAUGGGCGGUACAAAGGGUCGCGAACCUGUAAGGGGGAGCUAACCCCAGAAAACCGUUCUCAGUUCGGAUUGGAGUCUGCAACCCGACUCCAUGAAGUUGGAAUCGCUAGUAAUCGUGGAUCAGCACGCCACGGUGAAUACGUUCCCGGGCCUU
rnacentral:rRNA from 1 species